rnacentral:lncRNA from 1 species
AGCAAAUGAGGUGUGACAAUAGGUACCUGACCAUGAGAUUCACUGGUCCUAUCAUGUAUCCUACCACCCUGCUUCUGCCAGCCUGACAGAGGGAUGGAAUGGCUUUUUGAAGGUGCAUCUAAGGUGUCAACUUGGAAAUUAUAUUAUGGGAGGAUACGGUGCAUAUCUUCAUCCUCCAGGAUGAAAAGCACACCCUAAAUCAUUAACCAUUAUAUAAUGCUGUGUUCCCCAGUAGGGAGAAUAUGUGCAUCUUGAAACUAAGUGUUGCAAGGAGAAGGGACUCUGCUUCUUAUCACUCCCAGUGAGCCAUUUGGGCAAUCUGUCCUUCCUAUCCCCACAACCUUAGGUUCCGUAGAUCUAAUGGUUGUGAUUUCCAGAGGGAGGAUGCUUCCACAGGAGCCCCAUUAAACUUUAUCUAUGACUGCCACGUGGUUACUUUAGGUUUUAUUGUCAGGGAUCCAGUAGGCCAAAAAAGGAUCCACAUCCUGGCAGGAGUAAUUGUCUCUGAUUUUCAGGAGAAGGUAGGGCUGCUGUUACAUAAUAGGAACAGGGAAAAAUACAUUUGGCACCCAAGUGAUCUGCUGGGGAAGGGGGGAAGAAAGGGGGCUCUUGGUGUUCCCCAGACCAAUUUUGAUGGUAAAUGGACAUGUUCAGAAGGCACAUCAUCCGAAGGGCGUAGCAACUAUGGGCUCAGACCUCCUCAGUGAUAGGGGCCUGGGUCGUCCUACCAGGUAAGUGAUGGAGGCCAGCUGAUGUGGUAGUCAAAGGUGAGCGGAAUCUAGAGAUGGGGUUAAUAGAUGAGGGAGACUAUAAAUAUGAGGUACAGUCUAAAGAAUAGCUGCAGGGGCAACAGGAGAGUGGAUGGGGAGAGGGAGAAGGGGGCAGAUGGCUGACACUGUAGCUCGUCCCACUAAACUCUUCUUAAAGCUUCCCUAGGAAAGGAGAUCAAUUACAAUCCUGGAGGAGUUGUUCCCUCGUGAAGGAAAUAUACUAUAUGAAGCAAGUGAAACUGUACAGGGGUGGAUUGUAGUGAAUGUAUUUGGACACCUCCUAGAUUCCCCUUCCUGGUCAAGGCUUUGUGUGCUCAAAUGCCAGUAGUGCUAGCUACUGAUGACUCACAGUUGCAUACAACUCUGGGAAUUGCCCUCAGCUGAAGGCAGCUGCCUUGUCCAAAUCUGUGCUCCUAUUCUUGGCUGCAGCCAUAUCCAAUGAUGGAUUGUUGUGAGGCUAAAUCAAAAUACGUCUGGAAAUUUCAUUGGCUCUACCUUCAAAAUGUAUUCAGAAUUCAGAAAGUUCUUCAGGCAAAAGGAAUAUGAAACCAACAGUAAACUUGGAUCUACAUCAAGAAAUGAAGAGCGCUGGAAAUGGGAUAAAGUAAGGAAGACUUCAUGAAUAGAAUUUGGAUUCUUGAUCAAUUUCAACUUUUGGACUAUUCUCUUCCUAAAAGACAGAUCUUAGAAGCCAAGAAAUUAAGCUGAAAAACAACAAACCACCAAAGGAUCUUACCCAGGAUAUAUUUGAUAAACUCUCUUUUCCUUGCUAUUAAAUGUAUCCUGUUGCCUUGAAAGAAAUGAAUACACCUAUCUUAUACAGUGAGCAAUUUUCUCUCCAAGGAUUAUUUUACUCAUUCAGGUUCACCAUGGGUCAGGCUAAGAGCAGUCCUAGUAUAAUUCAUAUUUCUUCCCACAGACAUUCUUAACUGCUUCAGGAUGUGUGACUAAUUAGAAGAAAUAUACAGAGCAGGCACUGUAUGUGACACACAGCAACCACCUGCACAGGUUGCCAUUGUGUUUAAGUCACAUAGAUUACCCUAUGAGUCAUUAACUU